rnacentral:ncRNA from 1 species
GACGACCUCGGAAGAGCGAUCCGAGUGUUGGCAGAACCCCUGUCUCCUGCGUGAGCGAUCGCGGGAGACACCGUUCUGUGCAACGGAAUUCUGAAGACACUUGGUGUGUUCGUAGGGAAACUACGUAACACGGCGAACGUAUGUUCACCGAUGCCGCAUCGCUCGGGAAGGACAGAGUUCUUCUCGCGGCCUCAGUAGCCUCC